GGAGCACAAUUUCUCCUGUUAUCUGAGAAAUUAUUUCUAAUUUCAUUUUUUAUAGUUUUUAUAGCACUGGGUGCACUGACUGAUUUUUAUAACAGGAAAGUUCAUUGAUAAAAUGAAAGAAUCCUAGGGAACUUUAUGAGUUUAAUAACAGUUUUAAACAAAUUGAUAUUAAAGAAUAGGAAUAGCCCCAGUUUCCAGAAGACUGCCUCUCAUCAUUAUUUCUCUCUAGAACAUCUUGUUGGGCCAGUCACUGUUCUCAGAGAUAUGCUCAUUGAGGCUCUAUAACAGGAAGCCUAUACCAAAGCAUAGUCGAAGCAUCACAGGCAAAAUGGAAAAAACGGUCUGCGUAGGUAGACAUCUGCAGCAGGACAGAUUGGAGCCUUGGCACUGGCUUUCUUCAAUUCUAGUCUGCCAUGAAAGAGUAAAAGCCCAUGCUGUAUUUGCAGUUUAUAAUAGCUGUGGGCUUGGGGGGGGGCAGAGCUGUUGGCUAGGUCCAUUAUUUCUCCCUGGGGCUUACUUGCUGUCCUGUAUCAUUGGCCUCAUCCACUAUCAGGGCAGUUGGUUGGUCAAUGGCUCUGCUGUCCAGUGUGGAAGGGGAAACAAAACACAGAACAGGCUUGAGUGGUUGUGGCUAGGAUGCCAGCAAAUGUAUUUUAAUUAAAAAUUAGUUCAUGACUGGUGUUAUAGUUUGGAUAUUAAAUGUCCUCCAAAGACCCAUGUGUUACAGACCAAGCUUGGUGUUCAGGGUGGCACUAUUGGGAGGUGGUGGAACCUUUAAGGAAUCUUUAGGUUAUUGAGGUGUGUACCUUUGAAGGAGAUCAUAAGACUGAAGCUCCCUCCUUUCCCUCUCUUAUUUUACUUUGUGACCUUGAAGUGUGUGGUUUCCUCUAUCACAUGUUCCCUACCAUGAUGUGCUGUGUCAUUACUGGCCAAAAAUCAAUGAGCAUAUCCCAUCAUAGACUGGAAUCUCUAUAACUAUAAGUGAUAAGAAUUACGUAUGUAAUUUAUAUAAAAUUUUUUUCUGGUACUAGGGACUGAGUCCUGGGCCUUGGUGCUAAGCUUUAUCCCUAAAUUUCAAUUUCUUUCUCUCCUUUUUUCUGUCAUUCUUUCUUUCUUUCCUUCUAAAUUUUUUCUAGCUUAAAGACUCUUUUUUCAUCACAGGUGCAGUUGUGGUAUCAGUGGCCAAAUAAAAGCCACAAGAUUCAUCUCCUAAAAAAUGUUAGCAUCUACUUGAAAAGUUGAGUGAUUUUAAGGAAUGUAUCCCAAUAGAGAAGGUUGUUAACAUUUUGUUCUUCUAUUCCUAAGAAGCUAAAACUGACUAUGGGCACAGGAAAUACCCAAGGGGAUUUACUGUGCUCUCUCAGCCCUCUCCAGUCUACACUUGUCUUUUGGGAGUGAGCCAGCAUGGAGGAGGAAUAGGCUAAGCUUGGUCAUCCUGGUCUAGCCAUCCUUUAGUCAACUUGAUUCCAGUUGAGACAAGAGCAGCUCAGCAGAGCACAUGCCAACUUGAUGGCCUAAAGAAUUAAAACCACAGACUGAAAAGAAUUGUAUUCGGCUCACAUUUCUGGAGGCUAGAUCGCCCAAGAUGAGGGGGCUGCAUCUGGGGAGGUCCCUGCUGUUGCACUGUGACAUGGGGAACAGCAUCACAUGGUGAGAGGAAGAAAGCAAGAGAGAGCUGAACCUGCCUGUAUUAUCAGGACCACACCCACCAAAACCAUCUCAAUUUUUCAUGACAGCGAGAGUCCUCAUGACCUAAUCCCUGUUGGAGAUUCACUGUUACUUUGAGCAUUGUUUCCAGCACAUGAACCUGCAGGACCCACUCAAACCAUAUCCCUCUCUCUCUUAUCUGGGACUC